UGUCAGGAGCACUGGGCUGAGUUCUGGAACUGCUUGCCUGAGCCUAGGUGCGUCAGGUUAUCCCACAGAGCUUCCGUUGACUCCUUAUGAAAUUGCUGGAAGGAGCAGGAUCUGUGGACUCCAGGGGUGAUGUGAGAAACCUCAGAAGCCUCCCUUGUCCGUGUUUCCCUCUUCUGUCCCGGUGCUCCAUUCCUUUCUAAGGCCUUGUCACCCGGACCAGAGCAGUGAAUCUGGAACCUCUUCCAAAUGGAGACCCGGAGGCUGCAACAAGGAGGGUCUUGGCCUUGGUCCCCAGACUAGUGGGCCCGUCAUCCUUCGGACAAUGAGAGCAGAGGGAUCCGUAUCUAGAGGAGGCCGGCAGGGCGUCCCACGGAACGUCGUGUGCCCAUCUCUGCUUUGUCGUCUAGGCUUAGCGGCGGACCCCCACCUAGAAAGAGGCCCGCGGGGCAGGGACAUUUGUCUGCCCUGUUCCCUGAAUUAUGGAAAAUGUCUAGAAGGGGCUUCCUGUCCAUUUGUGGAGUCGAUGAAGCCCAGCCAGCACCUUUCAGAUGUCUGAGUGGCUCUGGGGCCCCUCUGCCAGCCCCCUGGGAUCCCUGCUCUGGUUCCACCCAGGAUGGGAGCCCCAGAUGGAAUCUGAAACCUCCU